rnacentral:lncRNA from 1 species
UCGCAUUUUGUGUGGAUAAUUUUCUAUUAAUAUUUUUAUUAUUAUAUUUAAAUAAUAAAUAAAAAUAUUAAUUAAUUCUAUGGGCCUAGAGAGUUGUGCUCGAUUAGGACACAUUAUCAAAUAUUUUUCCAUUACCUGACUUUGAUUUUCACCGGUGCGGAUGCAUCUUAAUGUAGCCCAUCAGGUGGCAUGUUCUACUGUUGCCUCAUUCCGAGCCAUAAUAUAUAUUUAACAUCAAUUAAAAUUUAAGAACCAUGAUGCAUAAAAUUUUACAAUAUUAAUAAUAUUUAAACAAUAAUAACAGUAAUGUUAAUGUUAAUAAUAAUAAUAAUAAUAAUAAUAAUAAUAAUAAUAAUAAUACUUGAGAUGAAAAUAAAGGUAAUGACGCAAUAAUAAUAAUGAUAAUAAUAAUAAUAAUAAUAAUAAUAACAGGCAUUAUAUCAAUAUUAAUAAUAUUGGUAGAAAAGAAGACAAAAAUAAAUUUAAUCUUACUUAUAAUACUACAAUAACCAAAUUAAUUAUUCAAUUAAGAAUUCCAUUGAAAUGCAGAUAUGAUACAUGCGGAAGAAUAUAUGAUUCUAACUCACAUAGUUCUGCCGAGUUCCGUUGUCUGCUCCUACACCUCGAGUGGAGCUGGCUGGACUGAAGGAUUAUUUGUUCAUGAAAAAUAAUUGAAUUGGUAAAAUAUUUAUAACUUUUCCUAGGCUUAGACUCCUAGAUUAGAAUGCCUAAGAAAUUCUGAUUCAAAAAUUCUAUCGAAAAUUCGGCAGAACUUCCUCUAAAAUAUAGACAUUUACCUCCCGUAUAACGGGUGCAAAACUUGCUAGAAAUAUUUUAAAUAUUUCAUAAUUAUUUAAUCGGAGUCGGGCCACAAACUGUAUUAUUUUUUGACUCAGCAACACAAUCCAAAUCACAAUACAAAAUCAACAGUCCGGCAAAAAUAAUAAUAUUAUUCACGAUAUAAUCACAUAAUUAUUUUCUUACAUUUAAUUUAAUUAAUUACAGCCUCAAUUUACACAAUAAGAUCAACAAUAUUUCUAGGAUCAUGCUACUCAUUUAUUAGAUAAUUUAAUUAAUUAAUAAUAACUAACAAUUGAUACACCCAAUAUUUUCUAAUAAUUUUAAAAUAAUUCUCAAAAUCUAAAUAAAAUUAUACCUAGUCGAAACUCGAAAUUCUGCGCGUCCGGAAAACACCAGGGUUCGGAAGCCCGUACUGCUAAUGGUGUUAGAUUUCAAAUUCGAAGAAACCUACGUGAAAUUUGAGUUGCGGCGAGUUUGAUGAUGUGAUUGUUUCUAUUGGAAACUCAUUGGAAGCCACUGGAUCGAGGUCAGAAAGUUUCGGCUCUAGCGAGGCUCACACACUAUUGCCAGCAGAGGAAAAAUGGCAGGGAAGCUUAGCUUGGGAGUUUUUGACGGUGGGGAACUCGUUUCCAGCGUCGGAUAGAUGAAAGGAUGGUGGUAGGAGGUCGAACCGGCGAUGGCAGCAUGGGAGGCAACUUCUUCUCCUUAGUGCGGCGAGGGAACGACGAGAGAAAGGGGAAAAGGACGAUGCUGAAGAGAAAUAAAAGUAGGAGCGAAGUUGGAUGCCUGGCGACGGCGAGGCUGUGGCUGGAAAUGGAAAGGAGUUGGGGGAUAAGGAGGUGGCGUCGGGGAGAGAAAGAGAAGAGGGAAAUUUUUUUAUAAU